GACCAUAUUGUGGCGCAACGGUAGCGCGUCUGACUCCAGAUCAGAAGGUUGCGUGUUCAAAUCACGUCGGGGUCA